rnacentral:rRNA from 1 species
GGGAAACCGAGUCUUAACCGGGCGUUAAGUUGCAGGGUAUAGACCCGAAACCCGGUGAUCUAGCCAUGGGCAGGUUGAAGGUUGGGUAACACUAACUGGAGGACCGAACCGACUAAUGUUGAAAAAUUAGCGGAUGACCUGUGGCUGGGGGUGAAAGGCCAAUCAAACCGGGAGAUAGCUGGUUCUCCCCGAAAGCUAUUUAGGUAGCGCCUCGUGAAUUCAUCUCCGGGGGUAGAGCACUGUUUCGGCUAGGGGGCCAUCCCGGCUUACCAACCCGAUGCAAACUGCGAAUACCGGAGAAUGUUAUCACGGGAGACACACGGCGGGUGCUAACGUCCGUCGUGAAGAGGGAAACAACCCAGACCGCCAGCUAAGGUCCCAAAGUCAUGGUUAAGUGGGAAACGAUGUGGGAAGGCCCAGACAGCCAGGAUGUUGGCUUAGAAGCAGCCAUCAUUUAAAGAAAGCGUAAUAGCUCACUGGUCGAGUCGGCCUGCGCGGAAGAUGUAACGGGGCUAAACCAUGCACCGAAGCUGCGGCAGCGACGCUGAUGCGUUGUUGGGUAGGGGAGCGUUCUGUAAGCCUGCGAAGGUGUGUCGUGAGGCAUGCUGGAGGUAUCAGAAGUGCGAAUGCUGACAUAAGUAACGAUAAAGCGGGUGAAAAGCCCGCUCGCCGGAAGACCAAGGGUUCCUGUCCAACGUUAAUCGGGGCAGGGUGAGUCGACCCCUAAGGCGAGGCCGAAAGGCGUAGUCGAUGGGAAACGGGUUAAUAUUCCCGUACUUGGUGUUACUGCGAAGGGGGGACGGAGAAGGCUAUGUUGGCCGGGCGACGGUUGUCCCGGUUUAAGCGUGUAGGUGUGUGUUCCAGGUAAAUCCGGUUCACUUUAACACUGAGGCGUGAUGACGAGGCACUACGGUGCUGAAGCAACAAAUGCCCUGCUUCCAGGAAAAGCCUCUAAGCAUCAGGUAACAUCAAAUCGUACCCCAAACCGACACAGGUGGUCAGGUAGAGAAUACCAAGGCGCUUGAGAGAACUCGGGUGAAGGAACUAGGCAAAAUGGUGCCGUAACUUCGGGAGAAGGCACGCUGACACGUAGGUGAAGUGAUUUACUCAUGGAGCUGAAGUCAGUCGAAGAUACCAGCUGGCUGCAACUGUUUAUUAAAAACACAGCACUGUGCAAACACGAAAGUGGACGUAUACGGUGUGACGCCUGCCCGGUGCCGGAAGGUUAAUUGAUGGGGUCAGCGCAAGCGAAGCUCCUGAUCGAAGCCCCGGUAAACGGCGGCCGUAACUAUAACGGUCCUAAGGUAGCGAAAUUCCUUGUCGGGUAAGUUCCGACCUGCACGAAUGGCGUAAUGAUGGCCAGGCUGUCUCCACCCGAGACUCAGUGAAAUUGAACUCGCUGUGAAGAUGCAGUGUACCCGCGGCAAGACGGAAAGACCCCGUGAACCUUUACUAUAGCUUGACACUGAACAUUGAGCCUUGAUGUGUAGGAUAGGUGGGAGGCUUUGAAGUGUGGACGCCAGUCUGCAUGGAGCCGGCCUUGAAAUACCACCCUUUAAUGUUUGAUGUUCUAACGUGGACCCGUGAUCCGGGUUGCGGACAGUGUCUGGUGGGUAGUUUGACUGGGGCGGUCUCCUCCUAAAGAGUAACGGAGGAGCACGAAGGUUGGCUAAUCCUGGUCGGACAUCAGGAGGUUAGUGCAAUGGCAUAAGCCAGCUUGACUGCGAGCGUGACGGCGCGAGCAGGUGCGAAAGCAGGUCAUAGUGAUCCGGUGGUUCUGAAUGGAAGGGCCAUCGCUCAACGGAUAAAAGGUACUCCGGGGAUAACAGGCUGAUACCGCCCAAGAGUUCAUAUCGACGGCGGUGUUUGGCACCUCGAUGUCGGCUCAUCACAUCCUGGGGCUGAAGUAGGUCCCAAGGGUAUGGCUGUUCGCCAUUUAAAGUGGUACGCGAGCUGGGUUUAGAACGUCGUGAGACAGUUCGGUCCCUAUCUGCCGUGGGCGCUGGAGAACUGAGGGGGGCUGCUCCUAGUACGAGAGGACCGGAGUGGACGCAUCACUGGUGUUCGGGUUGUCAUGCCAAUGGCACUGCCCGGUAGCUAAAUGCGGAAGAGAUAAGUGCUGAAAGCAUCUAAGCACGAAACUUGCCCCGAGAUGAGUUCUCCCUGAGACUUAGAGUCUCCUGAAGGAACGUUGAAGACGACGACGUUGAUAGGCCGGGUGUGUAAGCGCAGCGAUGCGUUGAGCUAACCGGUACUAAUGAACCGUGAGGCUUAACCUUACAACGCCGAAG